rnacentral:rRNA from 1 species
AGUGAACGCUGGCGGUAGGCCUAACACAUGCAAGUCGAACGGCAGCACAGUAAGAGCUUGCUCUUACGGGUGGCGAGUGGCGGACGGGUGAGGAAUACAUCGAAAUCUACUUUUUCGUGGGGGAUAACGUAGGGAAACUUACGCUAAUACCGCAUACGACCUACGGGUGAAAGCAGGGGAUCUUCGGACCUUGCGCGAUUGAAUGAGCCGAUGUCGGAUUAGCUAGUUGGCGGGGUAAAGGCCCACCAAGGCAACGAUCCGUAGCUGGUCUGAGAGGAUGAUCAGCCACACUGGAACUGAGACACGGUCCAGACUCCUACGGGAGGCAGCAGUGGGGAAUAUUGGACAAUGGGCGCAAGCCUGAUCCAGCCAUACCGCGUGGGUGAAGAAGGCCUUCGGGUUGUAAAGCCCUUUUGUUGGGAAGGAAAAGCAGCAGGUUAAUACCCCGCUGUUCUGACGGUACCCAAAGAAUAAGCACCGGCUAACUUCGUG